GGUGGUGUCUUUCGCCCCAAAGACACUCAUGAGUCGGGCUCUUUGCUGACAAAGGCCACCAGGAGGGACACACUGCCUUGUGGGCUCUUAAUACCCUGUUGCCUGUAAGUGUCUGCAGAGCAGGAUUACAGGAAAUUAGGCUGCGUGUACUGAUGCUCCUGCCUUCUCAUCAAAGAAGGCUCGCGUCCCUGGGAUCAAACAGCACAUCUGUGCUGGCUGUGUCAGCAUGUUGACAUCCCCAUCCAUCAGGCUCAAGGCUGGAAGGCGUUGAGCCGCCUCAGGCGACUGCAGGGAACGUGCUUCCCCCCGGGCAGUUCUGACCUCCGCCGGGACAGAUGGACAGGAAGAGGAGGCGAUGUUACUUGUAUACAGCCAGCCCGCUUGUCGCACUGGUAGGCGCCUAGAGCUGGCUCGCAAGAAUGGGACCCUCUUUCUUACUCGGAAGCCCCAGUAACAGUCCACCUGAGCUGCUAGAGGUAGCCAGGAUUCUGACUACGUGUUGGUUGAUGCUCGAACGGAUUUUUGAGCCACCAUCGAAUCGUUUCUGAGGUCCGUCUACCGAGAUCAAGUCCCAUAAAGCAGAUACUGUGCUGAUUGAAGCAUUCUGGAAACCGUGGGAUGGAAUGCAAACAGGACACAGUUGGAGGAGAAAGGAUUCCAUAUACAGGAUAUGCCGGUGGUACGCCUCAGAUUGGUAAGGGCAGUGUGACUAACCCGG
rnacentral:lncRNA from 1 species